rnacentral:rRNA from 1 species
UACGGAGGGAGCUAGCGUUGUUCGGAAUUACUGGGCGUAAAGCGCACGUAGGCGGCUUUGUAAGUCAGAGGUGAAAGCCUGGAGCUCAACUCCAGAACUGCCUUUGAGACUGCAUCGCUUGAAUCCAGGAGAGGUGAGUGGAAUUCCGAAGUGUAGAGGUGAAAGUUCGUAGAUAUUCGGAAGAACACCAGUGGCGAAGGGCGGCUCACUG